rnacentral:ncRNA from 2 species
AAGAAGGGUAUGAAAGAGAGUUCGAGUUUUUUACGAACCGCCGAAGGGACAAACUUUGGAGUUAGCCGCUCUAAAGUGAAAUUCUCAGGCAAAAGGAUCAUAUCUGGACA